rnacentral:rRNA from 1 species
CCUACGGGAGGCAGCAGUGGGGAAUUUUGCGCAAUGGGGACAACCCUGACGCAGCAACGCCGCGUGAGUGAUGAAGGCCUUCGGGUCGUAAAGCUCUGUCAGAGGGGAAGAAAUGCAGGUGGUGAGCAACCAUUCUGUUUGACGGUACCCUCAAAGGAAGCACCGGCUAACUCCGUGCCAGCAGCCGCGGUAAUACGGAGGGUGCGAGCGUUGUUCGGAAUUAUUGGGCGUAAAGCGCGUGUAGGCGGUUUGUUAAGUCUGAGGUGAAAGCCCCGGGCUAAACCUGGGAAGGGAAUUGGAGACUGGCAGACUUGAGUACGGGAGAGGAGAGGGGAAUUCCCAGUGUAGGAGUGAAAUCCGUAGAUAUUGGGAGGACCACCGGUGGCGAGGGCGGCUCUCUGGACCGAUACUGACGCGGA